AGCAGAUGAUUCUUACUGCAUUUUCUGCCCUUGGACUUCAAGGUCAAGGACCAGAUGUCGGGGAAGGUAAUCGCGAAGGGGCCUAGAGUGGGAAGAUUAUUUCCAUUGCAAUUUACUGUUCCUAGAACUUUAUCUUUAGCCUCUAUGAUUGUUGACAAUAAGGCUGAAAUUUGGCAUAGACGAUUGGGUCAUCCAAAUAAUGUCAUUUUAUCUGAUUUAAUAAAGCGUGGUUUUCUUGGUGC